rnacentral:ncRNA from 1 species
GGCUUUAGAGGGUGGAACAGGCAGCCGCCGCACCUGUAAAAAGCAGGUCUAAAGAGAUCCGGGAUACGCCUCCCCGGCUAAGGUC